ACAACAUUUGGACCGUCGGUCUACCGAGCAAUAUAACCUGCUCGAUGGAAGAUCUUCCCUUUGUCAU
rnacentral:pre_miRNA from 1 species